UUUGACACGACAUUGCUCACAUUGCUUCCAGUGUAAUAUUUAGCUUUAUGGUAAGUUGAUCAUCU
rnacentral:antisense_RNA from 1 species